rnacentral:misc_RNA from 1 species
AAAAACCUUAAACCUCCAAAGAAGCUCUCAACAAUGGCGAUAACCACAAAACUUGUUCAAUUCCGGCCGAAACUGAAACACUCAAAGGUAAAGUUCUUCUCUUCUUCUUCUUCUACAUCAAAUUCGAAUCCUGAACAUACCGAAACACCUAAAUCUGAGCCGAAUCAAGCACCUACACCUAAACCAUUCUCUUUUUCAUCUAUUGCCAGUAAUCCCCAAAACCCAUCUUCACAAUCUGAAGCUCUUGACGAAGUAAGAAAAAGCCUUGCAGGAUACCGUAUCCGUACUGGUUCAGCACCAUCACCCACGUCAUUUAAAGAACUGUAUCAAAGAAAUGUCAAGUCUGAAGUUCCUUACAAUGCGAAUCAGAGACCAACCCCAGCCCCAGCUGGAAAACUUGCGUUUAAUGCAAUUAGUUCUA